rnacentral:lncRNA from 1 species
UUCUACGUUGAUAUGGUGGGAGGUGUUGCCAUUAAAGGGAAAAUUUUGGUAGGAUUAGGGCCCGUUUGGAUUGGCUUAUUUGAGCUUAUCUAUCAGCAUAAGUUUGUGAUACUGUUUGGUAGAAUUCUUGGAAAUAGCUUAUGGCAAUUUUCAUAAGCUUUGAUCAACUUAUUUUAAUAAGUUCUCCAAUAGAGCUUAUAAAAACAACUUAUAACAUAUACUAAACCAAUUUAACGAUAUUUAUCUUUUGCUAUAAAAAUAGCUUAUGCAAGCUUAUAUAUAACCACUUAUCAUGAGAAGAGCCUGUGUUAUAAGCUACAAAUAAGCUGCUUAUCCAAUUUAACGAUAUUUAUCUUCUGCUAUAAAAAUAGCUUAUGCAAGCUUAUAUAUAACCACUUAUCAUGAUAAGCGCUUGUGUUAU